rnacentral:rRNA from 1 species
AUUGAACGCUGGCGGCAUGCUUUACACAUGCAAGUCGAACGGUAACAGGCCGCAAGGUGCUGACGAGUGGCGCACGGGUGCGUAAUGCAUCGGAACGUGCCCAGUCGUGGGGGAUAACUACUCGAAAGAGUAGCUAAUACCGCAUACGAUCUAUGGAUGAAAGCGGGGGACCGUAAGGCCUCGCGCGAUUGGAGCGGCCGAUGUCAGAUUAGGUAGUUGGUGGGGUAAAGGCUCACCAAGCCAACGAUCUGUAGCUGGUUUGAGAGGACGACCAGCCACACUGGGACUGAGACACGGCCCAGACUCCUACGGGAGGCAGCAGUGGGGAAUUUUGGACAAUGGGCGCAAGCCUGAUCCAGCAAUGCCGCGUGCAGGAAGAAGGCCUUCGGGUUGUAAACUGCUUUUGUACGGAACGAAACGGCUCUGGUUAAUACCCGGGGCUAAUGACGGUACCGUAAGAAUAAGCACCGGCUAACUACGUG